rnacentral:rRNA from 1 species
GACGAACGCUGGCGGCGUUCUUAACACAUGCAAGUCGAACGGAAAGGCCCUGCUUUUGUGGGGUGCUCUAGUGGCGAACGGGUGAGUAACACGUGAGUCACCGCCCCUUUACUUUGGGAUAACUUCAGGAAACUUUGGCUAAUACCGGAUAGGAUCUCCUGCUGCAUGGUUGGUGUUGGAACGUUUCGGCGGUUGGGGAUGUACUCGCGGCUUAUCAGCUUGUUGGUGGGGUAGUGGCUUACCAAGGCUUUGACGGGUAGCCGGCCUGAGAGGGUGACCGGCCACAUUGGGACUGAGAUACGGCCCAGACUCCUACGGCAGGCAGCAGUGGGGAAUAUUGCACAAUGGGCGGAAGCCUGAUGCAGCAACGCCGCGUGCGGGAUGACGGCCUUCGGGUUGUAAACCGCUUUCGCCUGUGACGAAGCGUGAGUGACGGUAAUGGGUAAAGAAGCACCGGCUAACUACGU